rfam:TPA: Bos taurus chromosome 3, whole genome shotgun sequence.
UCCCUGAUGGUCCAGUGGCUAAGACUCCGAGCUCCCGAUGCAGGGGGGCCUGGGUUCAAUCCCUGGUCAGGGAA